UGUCAAGUUGGAUUGAAAUGAAGAGUUUGAAUUAGGAAUAAAAUCACAUGGCUGAAAAUUUACACACACAACCACCCAAAAAUGGUCAUCCAUGGGUAUGACCUUGAAAAUGGAACCCCGUGGCACUGGCACAAAAAGAAUCGUCUGAUGUUUACUGCUACGCAGCUACGACCUUCAGCGCCAUUCAUUUGUCAGAAUUUGUGGAAAUUCACCUACAGAGAAAAGGUACCAAAACACAUAUAGUCAAGGAAUUUAUUCAUCAAGGGACUUCAAGACAGCCAUUCAUUGCUGAACAAUCUGAUCAGCCUCUUCAUUCAUUAAUGGACCCAAGAGUUUUCCGAAUGAAUUGGUUCAUUGUCAACAUGAAAGUUAUCAACACAGAUUACGAAUCUUAUUACCAACAUGCAGAUUCAACGUCCCCAGGGAAAUUCAUAAAAUACCAGGAGCAAGCAUAUAGUUUUAGCGAGUUUAGAGGAAAGUAUCAUUUGAUUCCAAUUUCGAUGUGGGAAAAAUACACGUGGGUAAGAUAUAUUCAAUAUUAGGACAUGCCAAAUUGACAGUUACCAGUUGUUCGGCUGCCAUAAUCAAAAUCAUGUUGGAUAAACUUACUAUGUUGUGCUAAUUUCAUAAUUUUCAUUAUGUCUCCAAUUACAUCUGGGUUUCGGGCAAACAAUUACUUUCCGAAUGAAAUGUUUUAUAGAUACAAGCAUGUAUUACAUGAAUACACAAUAUCUACUUUAAAAAAUUUAACUAUUCAAAAUUGAUUAUUUUACGUGAGAAAAAUUAAGUUGAAAAGCGCCACCUCGACGGUUGUCCUAAUGUAAACUUCGAAAAUACUUUCCUAAGUUACGGUCCAUGCAUUAGAAGGAGGCUAUAUUUCGGCAUCGACUGAAUAUAGAUUUGCUAACCUUUAGAAGGUAGUUGCAGAGUAAAACGUAUGUAACAAUUGGAAUCGGAGCUUUUAUUCUAAAAUAUAUGAAAUUAUGAAUGCAUAUAUUUUAUUAAAGUAACAGUUUCUUUAUUA